CGAUAACGAACGAGACUCUGGCCUGCUAAAUAGGAGGCUGAUCAUCUUUGUCAGUCGACACUUCUUAGAGGGACAGGCGGUCUUUAUCCGCACGAGAUUGAGCAAUAACAGGUCUGUGAUGCCCUUAGAUGUCCGGGGCCGCACGCGCGCUACACUGAAGGGAUCAGCGUGUAUAUACCCCUGUCCGAUAGGACUGGGUAACCCGCUGAACCCCCUUCGUGAUGGGGAUAGGGGCUUGUAAUUAUUCCCCUUGAACGAGGAAUUCCCAGUAAGCGCGAGUCAUAAGCUCGCGUUGAUUACGUCCCUGCCCUUUGUACACACCGCCCGUCGCUACUACCGAUUGAAUGAUUUAGUGAGGUCUUCGGACCUGCGGUCGUCGCGGCCUCGUGCCUGCAACGGUUCGCGGGGAAGAUGCCCAAACUUGAUCAUUUAGAGGAAGUAAAAGUCGUAACAAGGUUUCCGUA
rnacentral:rRNA from 1 species